rnacentral:rRNA from 1 species
UACAGAGGGGGCAAGCGUUAUUCGGAAUCAUUGGGCGUAAAGAGCGUGUAGGCGGCUCGGUAAGUCCGUUCUGAAAGUCCAGGGCUCAACCCUGGGAUGCGGAUGGAUACUGUCGGGCUCGAGUCCGGAAGAGGCGAGUGGAAUUCCCGGUGUAGCGGUGAAAUGCGCAGAUAUCGGGAGGAACACCAGUAGCGAAGGCGGCACUCUGGGCCGGUACUGACGCUGAGGAGCGAAAGCGUGGGGAGCAAACAGG